rnacentral:rRNA from 1 species
GGAGAGCGGCAACGUUCACCCAGGGCCGGAAAGUUGUCCAAACUUGGUCAUUUAGAGGAAGUAAAAGUCGUAACAAGGUCUCCGUAGGUGAACCUGCGGAGGGAUC